CGGGGCGUAGCGCAGUCCGGUAGCGCACCUGAAUGGGGUUCAGGAGGCCGGCAGUUCGAAUCUGCCCGCCCCGACCA
rnacentral:tRNA from 1 species